rnacentral:rRNA from 1 species
ACAAGUACCGUGAGGGAAAGUUGCAAAGCACUUUGAAGAGAGAGUUAAAGAGGACGUGAAACCGGUAAGGUGGAAACGGAUAGAGUCGGCGUAUCAUUCAAUUAUUCAGUUACAUUAUUUUUAUGUUGUGACCUCUGAGCUCCAGAUUGGGACAGAGGGAAUCAGCAUAAUUUUUUGUGGUGCAUUUACUUGAUUGGUGCUUGGGGAUGUUUGAGGCAGAUUUGUUUCCGUCGUUUUGAGGCCAGCUUGCUGGUACCCAAACGGUGUUAGCAUUUUUUGUCUUGGGCAUUUGAGUAUGGCUYACGUGUAUUUAUUGGACAGAUCUGAGUGUAAGUUACGGUCGCAUGCGACACGUGCUUUUCAAUUAGUUCGGUCCAGUUAAUGCUCUCGUACUCGUUCCCCAUGUAAAAGCCGGUCAUCUAUCCGACCCGUCUUGAAACACGGACCAAGGAGUUUAUCGUGUGCGCAAGUUUUUGGGUGUUAAAAACUUAAAAGCGAAAUGAAAGUAAAUGACUCUUUAGAGUCUGAUGUGCGAUCUUGUAAAAAAGUGUAGCAUGGCCCCAUUCUAACUGUUUACAGUAGGGUGGCGGAAGAGCGUACGCGGUGAGACCCGAAAGAUGGUGAACUAUUCCUGAGCAGGACGAAGCCAGAGGAAACUCUGGUGGAAGUCCGAAGCGGUUCUGACGUGCAAAUCGAUCGUCUGACUUGGGUAUAGGGGCGAAAGACUAAUCGAACCAUCUAGUAGCUGGUUCCUUCCGA